CCUACGGGAGGCAGCAGUGAGGAAUAUUGGUCAAUGGACGAGAGUCUGAACCAGCCAAGUAGCGUGAAGGAUGACUGCCCUAUGGGUUGUAAACUUCUUUUAUAUGGGAAUAAAGUGUUCCACGUGUGGGAUUUUGUAUGUACCAUAUGAAUAAGGAUCGGCUAACUCCGUGCCAGCAGCCGCGGUAAUACGGAGGAUCCGAGCGUUAUCCGGAUUUAUUGGGUUUAAAGGGAGCGUAGGUGGAUUGUUAAGUCAGUUGUGAAAGUUUGCGGCUCAACCGUAAAAUUGCAGUUGAAACUGGCAGUCUUGAGUACAGUAGAGGUGGGCGGAAUUCGUGGUGUAGCGGUGAAAUGCUUAGAUAUCACGAAGAACUCCGAUUGCGAAGGCAGUUCACUGAACUGCAACUGACACUGAGGCUCGAAAGUGUGGGUAUCAAACAGGAUUAGAUACCCGUGUAGUC
rnacentral:rRNA from 1 species